AUGAACCGGCGAGUUACGAUUUGAUGCAAGGUUAAGCAGUAAAUGUGGAGCCGUAGCGAAAGCGAGUCUGAAUAGGGCGUUUAGUAUUUGGUCGUAGACCCGAAACCAGGUGAUCUACCCUUGGUCAGGUUGAAGUUCAGGUAACACUGAAUGGAGGACCGAACCGACUUACGUUGAAAAGUGAGCGGAUGAACUGAGGGUAGCGGAGAAAUUCCAAUCGAACCUGGAGAUAGCUGGUUCUCUCCGAAAUAGCUUUAGGGCUAGCCUCAAGUGAUGAUUAUUGGAGGUAGAGCACUGUUUGGACGAGGGGCCCCUCUCGGGUUACCGAAUUCAGACAAACUCCGAAUGCCAAUUAAUUUAACUUGGGAGUCAGAACAUGGGUGAUAAGGUCCGUGUUCGAAAGGGAAACAGCCCAGACCACCAGCUAAGGUCCCAAAAUAUAUGUUAAGUGGAAAAGGAUGUGGCGUUGCCCAGACAACUAGGAUGUUGGCUUAGAAGCAGCCAUCAUUUAAAGAGUGCGUAAUAGCUCACUAGUCGAGUGACACUGCGCCGAAAAUGUACCGGGGCUAAACAUAUUACCGAAGCUGUGGAUUGUCCUUUGGACAAUGGUAGGAGAGCGUU
rnacentral:rRNA from 1 species